AGAGUUUGAUCCUGGCUCAGGAUGAACGCUAGCUACAGGCUUAACACAUGCAAGUCGAGGGGCAGCAUGAACUUAGCUUGCUAAGUUUGAUGGCGACCGGCGCACGGGUGAGUAACACGUAUCCAACCUGCCGAUGACUCGGGGAUAGCCUUUCGAAAGAAAGAUUAAUACCCGAUGGCAUAGUUCUUCCGCAUGGUAGAACUAUUAAAGAAUUUCGGUCAUCGAUGGGGAUGCGUUCCAUUAGGUUGUUGGCGGGGUAACGGCCCACCAAGCCUUCGAUGGAUAGGGGUUCUGAGAGGAAGGUCCCCCACAUUGGAACUGAGACACGGUCCAAACUCCUACGGGAGGCAGCAGUGAGGAAUAUUGGUCAAUGGACGAGAGUCUGAACCAGCCAAGUAGCGUGAAGGAUGACUGCCCUAUGGGUUGUAAACUUCUUUUAUACGGGAAUAAAGUGAGGCACGUGUGCCUUUUUGUAUGUACCGUAUGAAUAAGGAUCGGCUAACUCCGUGCCAGCAGCCGCGGUAAUACGGAGGAUCCGAGCGUUAUCCGGAUUUAUUGGGUUUAAAGGGAGCGUAGGCGGACGCUUAAGUCAGUUGUGAAAGUUUGCGGCUCAACCGUAAAAUUGCAGUUGAUACUGGGUGUCUUGAGUACAGUAGAGGCAGGCGGAAUUCGUGGUGUAGCGGUGAAAUGCUUAGAUAUCACGAAGAACUCCGAUUGCGAAGGCAGCUUGCUGGACUGUAACCGACGCUGAUGCUCGAAAGUGUGGGUAUCAAACAGGAUUAGAUACCCUGGUAGUCCACACAGUAAACGAUG
rnacentral:rRNA from 1 species